rnacentral:rRNA from 1 species
ACAUGCCUACAACAUAGCGUUAGUGCACCAAAUCCCAUUAGAACUUCGUAGUUAAGCACGCUCAGGCUAGAGUAGUAUUGGGAUGGGUGACCGCUUGGAAAUUCCUAGUGUUUUACAUGCC